AGAGUUUGAUCCUGGCUCAGAGCGAACGCUGGCGGCAGGCCUAACACAUGCAAGUCGAGCGCCGUAGCAAUACGGAGCGGCAGACGGGAGAGUAACACGUGGGAACGUGCCCUUCAGUUCGGAACAACCCAGGGAAACUUGGGCUAAUACCGGAUACGUCCGUAAGGAGAAAGAUUUAUUGCUGAAGGAUCGGCCCGCGUCUGAUUAGCUAGUUGGUGGGGUAAUGGCCCACCAAGGCGACGAUCAGUAGCUGGUCUGAGAGGAUGAUCAGCCUCACUGGGACUGAGACACGGCCCAGACUCCUACGGGAGGCAGCAGUGGGGAAUAUUGGACAAUGGGCGCAAGCCUGAUCCAGCCAUGCCGCGUGGGUGAUGAAGGCCCUAGGGUUGUAAAGCCCUUUCGGCGGGGAAGAUAAUGACGGUACCCGCAGAAGAAGCCCCGGCUAACUUCGUGCCAGCAGCCGCGGUAAUACGAAGGGGGCUAGCGUUGCUCGGAAUCACUGGGCGUAAAGCGCACGUAGGCGGCUUUUUAAGUCAGGGGUGAAAUCCUGGAGCUCAACUCCAGAACUGCCUUUGAUACUGAGAAGCUUGAGUCCGGGAGAGGUGAGUGGAACUGCGAGUGUAGAGGUGAAAUUCGUAGAUAUUCGCAAGAACACCAGUGGCGAAGGCGGCUCACUGGCCCGGUACUGACGCUGAGGUGCGAAAGCGUGGGGAGCAAACAGGAUUAGAUACCCUAGUAGUCC
rnacentral:rRNA from 1 species